rnacentral:tRNA from 1 species
AGGCUAGGCAUCACGUCAGCUCCGCCUUGACAUGGUGGGGGUCGUUGGUUCGAAUCCAAUCGCGCCUACCA